GCUAGCGUAGCUUAACUAAAGCAUAACACUGAAGAUGUUAAGAUAGGCCCUAGAAAGCCUCGUAAGCA
rnacentral:tRNA from 1 species